rnacentral:rRNA from 1 species
GACGAACGCUGGCGGCGUGCUUAACACAUGCAAGUCGAACGGAAAGGCCCUGCUUUUGUGGGGUGCUCGAGUGGCGAACGGGUGAGUAACACGUGAGUAACCUGCCCUUGACUUUGGGAUAACUUCAGGAAACUGGGGCUAAUACCGGAUAGGAGCUCCUGCUGCAUGGUGGGGGUUGGAAAGUUUCGGCGGUUGGGGAUGGACUCGCGGCUUAUCAGCUUGUUGGUGGGGUAGUGGCUUACCAAGGCUUUGACGGGUAGCCGGCCUGGGAGGGUGACCGGCCCCAUGGGGCCUGGGAUACGGCCAGGGCUCAUCAGGGGGGAAGGGGUGGGGAAUUUUGCCAAAUGGGCGGAGUCCUGAGAGAAGACCGCCGGGUGGGGAAUGACGGCCUUGGGGUGGUAAACGCCUUUCGCCUGUAACGAGGCGUGGGUGCCGGUAAUUGGGAAAGAAGCCCCGGCUAACUCCGU